rnacentral:rRNA from 1 species
UGGGGAAUAUUGGACAAUGGGGGCAACCCUGAUCCAGCAAUGCCACGUGUGUGAAGAAGGUCUUCGGAUUGUAAAGCACUUUCGACGGGGACGAUGAUGACGGUACCCGUAGAAGAAGCCCCGGCUAACUUCGUGCCAGCAGCCGCGGUAAUACGAAGGGGGCUAGCGUUGCUCGGAAUGACUGGGCGUAAAGGGCGUGUAGGCGGUUUACACAGUCAGAUGUGAAAUCCCCGGGCUUAACCUGGGAGCUGCAUUUGAUACGUGUAGACUAGAGUGUGAGAGAGGGUUGUGGAAUUCCCAGUGUAGAGGUGAAAUUCGUAGAUAUUGGGAAGAACACCGGUGGCGAAGGCGGCAACCUGGCUCAUGACUGACGCUGAGGCGCGAAAGCGUGGGGAGCAAACAGGAUUAGAUACCCUGGUAGUCCACGCUGUAAACGAUGUGUGCUAGAUGUUGGGUAACUUUG